rnacentral:rRNA from 1 species
UACGAGGGGGGGCAAGCGUUGUUCGGAAUUGAUUGGGCGUAAAGGGUGCGUAGGCGGUCUGACAAGUCUGAUGUGAAAUCUAUGGGCUCAACCCAUAGUCUGCAUCGGAAACUGUCGGGCUUGAGUAUGGGAGAGGUGAGUGGAAUUCCGGUGUAGCGGUGAAAUGCGUAGAUAGUCGGAAGGAACACCUGUCGGCGAAAGCGGCUCGACUGGACCAUUACGUGACGCUGAGGCACGAAAGCUAGGGGAGCAAACAGGAGUUAGAAAACCCGAG